rnacentral:rRNA from 1 species
UACGGAGGGUGCAAGCGUUGUUCGGAUUUAUUGGGCGUAAAGCGCGUGUAGGCGGUUUCUUAAGUCUGAUGUGAGAGCCCUGGGCUCAACCCAGGAAGUGCAUUGGAUACUGGGAGACUUGAAUACGGGAGAGGGUAGUGGAAUUCCUAGUGUAGGAGUGAAAUCCGUAGAUAUUAGGAGGAACACCGGUGGCGAAGGCGGCUACCUGGACCGAUAUUGACGCUGAGACGCGAAAGCGUGGGGAGCAAACAGG